GAGGGAUCAUUACCGAGUUUUCAACUCCCGUUACACCCUUCUGUGAACCUACCUAUCGUUGCUUCGGCGGACUCGCCCCAGCCCGGACGCGGACUGGACCAGCGGCCCGCCGGGGACCUCAAACUCUUGUAUUGUAUUCCAGCAUCUUCUGAAUAGGCCGCAAGGCACAACAAAUGAAUC
rnacentral:misc_RNA from 1 species